rnacentral:misc_RNA from 1 species
ACAGGUAAUGUCUCCUGGGCCAGUU